rnacentral:lncRNA from 1 species
AGUUUGCUUGGAGUUGCAAAACCAAGUUUAAGGACGGAUGUUGGUUACUAAACUUAGUUUUUAAUAUUAGUAACUUAUGGCUUUAUUCUCUGUAAUUGCAUAUUAGUAUGGUCAGGAGUUACAUGUCUUUUGGGUUUUUAGUCAUGUGGGAGUUACAUGGAGUUAUAAGGGUUUUAUUUAGAGGGAGUUAUUUGAGAUUUAUUUGGGGUUAUGUAUGGUGUAAUGACCAAUUCAAUUAGGAAGGUUAAAAGACCAUCUAAUGGUGUCUAUAAAUAUUCAUGUACUCUAGUUGUUUUUUGAAGUCAGUGGAAUACAAGUUAUUUAUGUGUGCCUAAAAUCCUCUCCAAUUUUCUUCCAUAGAGUAAUUUGUGAGUAUGAACCCUCUUGAUUUCCGACGCUCCCCGCACAGCUCCCCAAGGUCUCCACCCCCUUAACUAGGUGCAUAGACUAUUGAUACCAAGCGGCUCAAUCUACUAGUUGAGCAGGUACAAGUUCUUAUGUCGAUGGUAUAAGACUGCAACAGCAGAUCACUCCUCCUUUAGCGGGCCAGACAAGUCAUUGAGAUGAUCAAGCCCAAGGUAGCAGUUAACUCCAUCCCAAAGGUCAUGGAAGAGGUUAAAAACAAUGUCACUCCCACUUUCCUUCCAGAGCCAGCUCCAGUCCCAACGAUCUCUCUCCGCAUCAACUAAGAAGUCUCUGGGUGGGAAGCAGACCUCAACUACAGAAUUGAGAAGAUGGGCAAUCAAAUCAAAGCCCUAUAGGAGCGAAAGGUCGAAGCUGGAGACAAUCACGAGACAAUGAAAAAAUCUCCUUUCAACAAAGAAAUUAUU